UUACUUACUUGGCAGGGGAGAUACUAUGAUCACAAAGGUGGUUUUCCCAGGGCGAGGCUUAUCCAUUGCACUCUGGACGUGCUGACUCCUGCAAUUUCCCCAGAUGUGGGAAACUCAACUGCAUAAUUUGUGGUAGCUGGGGAAUGCAUUCACACUUUCCCCUG
ensembl:snRNA U1 U1 spliceosomal RNA